GUGCUCGCUUCUGCAGCACAUAUACUAAAAUUGGAACGAUACAGAGAAGAUUAGCAUGGCCGAGAAAAAGAAAAAUAAAGAAAGUUAAGAGGACAGAAGGAUGUGGGUUCUGCUAUUUU
ensembl:snRNA U6 U6 spliceosomal RNA